AGUAAUAGCAGAUCAAGCCAGCCCAUGUACAGCCUAUGACAGAGCUCUGCUGUGGAACUGAAAGAAAGACAGAUGAGUAUCCAGAAUUACCGAGACAGCCUUGCUCACUGAAGUCACUGGUAGCUCUAAGUCCAUGCAGCAGGCUAAGGAACCGGCUGAUGCCUCAUGAAAUAAUUUACAAGCCAAGAAGGAUAUGAAAGAGUGAAGUAACCAUGCUCCGUACCCUCCCCCACGACUCUGUGAAUCUUCCAGGCUGAAGCUAGCCAUCUCUGAUAUUUUGAGCAGAAACAUUUACUGGAUGUGUACUGUGAUUAUUUCCAAGUCCUUGUCUCUUCUCCUUCCUCUGCUAAAAUUCAAAAUUGCCUUCUAUAAGCUAUAAAGAUUGUUUUGAAAUAAUGAGCCAGAAAUACACACAUGUUGUGCACAGUCCUAUGGAUCUUGCAGUAAAGCAAAUUAUAGUCUGGAAUGGAUGAAGGAAGAUGAAUCAAAACAUCUCUCUG
rnacentral:lncRNA from 7 species